GCCCAUUGACAGUUUGGCGCAAAAAACAAGCUCCAUACUGAGCUUCAUAUAUCUGGGUCAGGGUCUGCUAAUGCUAGCUAUAUUUGAUCUACGUGGAUGUCAUCAGUGGACCUUUGCAGAGGCUCUUUUGCUUUUUGUGCUGAUUGGCCAUUAAAACAGAGAAUGGAUAUAUCACGCACGUAUAACGCCUAACCGUCUGGGCAUGAAUCUAAGGAUUUGACAUGUUCUUAAUUGUGUGUGCACACCUGCUGACUCAUCACUGAAAUGCGUCGUUGUUUAUCUAGCAUUCAUAUUUGCUUGUGUGUAAUGCAAAUAAAUACU